rnacentral:lncRNA from 1 species
ACUUCUCGAGGAAUAUUACAAAGCGUUUUAACCCCCAAACAACGAAAACGGAUUAGAAAGCGUAAAUAACUAACGGCUUCAAUUUUUCCGGUGGAGAUAUGUAGUGGAUCCUGAGACGAAUAAGUUGGCAAAACGACUGAGGAUGACAUUAUAUCUCUAAAGACAACGUAAAGAACAAAAUGUCAUGUUUUCCUUUUUCAAAACUACUUUAUCUUGACAACGGUGCUCUGUACCAUGGCAAAGUGGGCGAGACAUGGUCUUGUUGCGAAGAAUAACAACAUCCCUCCCCCAGUACCUGAUCUGACCAGGUUUCAUGUACGGGUAUUUCCCAAGCAGACAAUCAACAUGAACAGUUGUGGAGCAAUAGUCAUCGCACGAAUAGAACCCUCCUUUUCUUGAAAAUAUGAUUUUGCUUUCGCAUAUA